rnacentral:rRNA from 1 species
AACGAACGCUGGCGGCAGGCUUAACACAUGCAAGUCGAACGGGUGUCGCAAGACAUCAGUGGCAGACGGGUGAGUAACACGUGGGAACCUUCCUAGGGGUACGGAACAACUCAGGGAAACUUGAGCUAAUACCGUAUACGUCCGUGAGGAGAAAGAUUUAUCGCCCUUAGACGGGCCCGCGUCGGAUUAGCUAGUUGGUGGGUAACGGCCUACCAAGGCGACGAUCCGUAGCUGAUCUGAGAGGAUGAUCAGCCACACUGGGACUGAGAUACGGCCCAGACUCCUACGGGAGGCAGCAGUGGGGAAUCUUGGACAAGUGGGCGGCAAGCCUGAUCCAGCCAUGCCGCGUGAGU